UCAGGUGUCUGUCUAUAGAUUAAAAGAUUACACAGUGAAGAAAAUGGAGCAGGACAGGAGUGUUUUCAUGUUUCUCCCAAUGGAGAAGAAUGAGGAGAUGAUCCUUUUGUGAAGACUGUUCAAGCAACUGGAAAAAUGUAAUUUGUCAGAGAAUUACAGUAGUCUAGUCUAGACAAGACUAAGGCUUGAAUCGGUUUCCAAAUCCUGACAAAUUAACGUGUGCUGCAACUUGAAAAUGUAAUUCAGAUUUUCACAGAGAGUUCUAUUGCAUUAGUAUAGGGACACAGACAUACACAUUAGCAUGUGCACACACAGAGGGAAAAUUCCAUUUGGUUUGCCUUAUGGAUUUAUCCCUGUGGUUUGAAGGGUGACUAUCAGUCACUAGGCCCACAAACACAGCAGGAUGUUUGCAAAUGCCCAAUUCAGGCUAAUGGAAAAGCCUUUCUUUUUUUUUGCCUUGGCAGUAGCUAAAAAAACCACUCACUGUCAUUUGGACCUGGACUGUGGACAAACAGGUGCUCUUGCAUGUUGGACCUCCCUGCCUCUUCUGGAGAAGAGGAGUCUAGUCUGGAGAAGAGGAGGCUUAGAGUACUCAGAGAUCAUCUUUAUCGUAAAAUUCCAAGUGAGCCUAGGAAGAAAACCGGAAUACUUAAAAUGGCAAAAAUCUGCAAAGGACACACAGCUCAGAGGAGACUACACAUCCUGAGAUAAUUAAGACCUGGCUGUGCUGGUGGUGACUCAGGAUAUUCUAUGAUUCCAUUCAGCUUUCAGUGGCACUUUGGAUGACCAGAGCCUGAGACAUUGAAAGUGCUUCAGGGAUGUCAGUCAUCACACAGGUAUUGAUCUGCAAAGACCCAUCUGAAGUCUCAAGUCACUUUUUUAACCCUAAUAUGAUGUUCUGGUGGUAGGUAGACCGAGAAUGCCCAGCAGGAGGAGGCUAAAGUUGUUGCUGUUGGAACCUGCAUGUCAAUAAAGCUGUAUAUCAAUAACUAUUUACAGAUUGAUACCUUGGGAUAAAUUCUUGACAAUUUCAGUCAAUGGAAUGGCACUGGUCUUCACCACUCAAGGGCAGAGGGCCUCAAGGUUUACUAGCAGGUUUUUUAAUUACCCUAAUACAUUUUCAGUUCACAGUAGGCAACUGGAACAUACAAUAUAUUGCCUUUCUAUAUCUCUUCUGGCCUUUUCUGAUGGUAUUGUGUAGUUGAAGAGUAAACUUCAAAAAAUUAAAAGGUGAAAAUAUAUUGAAUAUUUUUAAAAAUUCCAGACUUUAAUAGCCAUCUCUUCAUUUAUUUGUUUUAAAUAGCUCUUUCAUGUGUUGGGACAAAGGGACAUUGUAUUAAUUGUGAAGUGUGAAAUGUUUUUCUUGUUUGCUUGGGACAACAACUGGGAAUACAUGGAUUUGCCUAUUCAUGCUUUAUUGUUAUGACAACAUUUUUUCCACAAAGUAUGUGAAAGGCAGUGCUAUGAAAGGAGUAUAGUUGGCUACAAAUCUGGAGGAGUUUCAUGCUUUUGUUUUAAGCUUGCGUGUAUGAGCUUUGUCAAAAUUGUGAGUCUUUCAUCCAUGGUGUCUGCCUGACUCAAGGGUUCUUUUCUUGUUCAAAUAUCCUUUAGUAAAGCCCAUUUGACUGAAAGGCUGUGCAAACAUGAGCUGGCUAUGAUAAGAGCUCUACAUGAAAUCUUUAACAUGCUUUGUCAGCAUGAGAUUUUUUCAGCUGUGUGCUCUAGUAAAUACUUUUUUCCCUCUACAGUAAGUUCAUUUUCUUAAAGUGUAUUUCUUAUUUAUAAUUGCUGUAAUUUUCUGACAGAUUUAUGACAAUAAACCAUUAUGCUUUAGGUGAAAUGUUAAUCCACUGUGCAUUAGUAUUACUUGAAAAAUACUGCCCUAGUCCAAGCUGUGUUACUAAAACAAGCUACAUCAGGACUUAGGUCCCAUCCACAACUGAGUUUGCAAUGGAUCUGUUUUCUAUGUCUCUCUUUCCUAAGUGAGCUGCCUGUCAAGCUUUCUUUAGCACCAAAAUGCUAAAAGGCAUCAUGAGGAGUCUAAUCCUGUGACUUUGCUAAGCACAGAAAAGGUGCUAGAGGAGAACACAAUCAGCUUAAUCAAAAUUGAAAGACAUGUUUUUUCUUUCAUAACAUGCAGGAUAGUUGUUGAAAAAUUAGCUUGUUGUCCUUUAACAAGCUUUCUCUACCCUGCAAUAUGCAACCACUUUUUUCUCUAGCUAGUUCCGUUCUGCAACCAGUGUAUAGGAAGAACAAAAUGUAAAACUUUCCUUUCAAAAACUCUUUGUUUCGCUGCUGGCCAUUCCUGUGUUGCCAUUUUAAAAUCUAAGCUUUUUCAGUUCAUAUCCAUCUCCGCUCACCUUUGCUUUUCUUGGUAAAAGUCUAUGUUGGCAUAUGGCUCUUAAGACAGGAAUAAAAGAGACAUUUUACCACAUGCCUCUGCUGAACGCUCACUAAUAACAUGCUGGAUACUUUCCACUCCACCCAACCUGCAUAAUUGUUCGCCAUGUGAAAUGGAGUUAAUUCUGUGUAAUGUUUUGAUGAGUAAUUUUAAUCAGGGUCGUGGAGAAGCUGCUCUCAAGUCUGGAAACGUAAGUGCUUCCUGUAGUAAACAAACUCGUGGUUUUAGCAUUUCACUUAAUUUGAUUUUUCAGAUGACAGAACAUGUUCCUUCUCUUGCCCUAUGGUCUUCAAGGCUCAGGAGCACUUCUGUAGCCAAAUUUCAUUUGUUCCUCCCUUAAACAAGUUAAGGGGGAGAGAGAAAAAGGUAGUUUUCAUCCUUUGGCAAGUCAGGAGAAGUUUUACCUGUGCCUUCCCUCAUUUUACCUGCAGCAAGUGCAUGAUUCUGUCGUCACAUCUUCUGAAAAUUAGUAGCUCCUUUGCAAAGUCCACCCUGGAUCAGUGUCCUGUUGGAAGAACACGUGGGGAAACUGGUGUUCAAUAGGCUGGGAGUGCAGGGAGUGCCUGCUGAAGUUCAUGAUUCCCAAACUGCAAGAAAUGCCUUUUAAUUCCACGCUGCAGCAAAUAGGGAUGAGCAGCUUUUGUUACUGUGCAGCAUCCAUGGUGCAGGUUUUCCCCAUGGUGCAGCAGGGAAAGAACUGUCCUGCCUUCCCCUACUAACAGCUCGAGAAAAUAUUUCAUGAAAUCUCCUCAAGGAUUAAGUUUAUUCCAGCCUUCAUUUGGUAAGAAAAACCAUCUGUGAACAUUUGACUUGAUGCAUCGUGCUGUGACAUCCAGCAGCAGCAUAAUCCCCAACUGCAGACCUGCUCCAACCGCCUCACGUGGCAGGUCAGAUACAAGCUAGAGAGCAAAAAUUCUGCAAAGUUUUAAAACUUGUAGUCUUUGGACUUUACACCUUAAAGCACUUCUCCAUAGUAAGUAUUGUCCCCAUUAAUGCAGCACCUACGACUCGGUGAUGUUCUUGCUUGUUGCAUCUCCCUCCAUUUGAGCAGGACAACUGCAUUGCUCCAAUUUUACAAGCUGAAAAGCAGAAAUAAAUAGCUUGUGCAAUGUCUCAAAGAGACAGAGGUGAUUUCUGAGCUUGGGUCUCCCAAGGCCCUCACCAGCAUCAUAAUUCUUUUCCCUUGUUCCAAAGAUUACUGCUUAAUAAGCCCAAACGGACACACAUUAUCCUGGUGGUGUGCAGCCACUUCUGCCUGGCCCAGAAAAUUGCUGCGGGGUGGCUGGGUGAGGUUUAUGGAGGUUUCCCAAAUGAUUGCUGUCUAUGCAAUGCUGGGUAGGGAUUUGUGCUAUAUCUGAAACACUUGUCUCAUGCCCAACACAAUAACAUGGGAUGUGGAGACUGCAAAAUAGUCACUGGGCUGGAAGGGAGUCCAAGGCAUGAGUGCUGCCAAGGUGAAGUGUGUGUAAAACAUCUAUUUAACAGAAGAGUGCAACAUUGAUUUUCUAUGAUCUGGAUGAUUUCACAAAUUAUUUUGGCACUACAUUUUGUUACCUGAACAGUUUAAGGAGAUCCUGCAUAUCCAUUAAAAAAAAAACACCUGUAGCUCAGCCUUCCCUUACCUUUCAUUGUAUAAGCACACCUGAGCUGUGUCCAUUUUCUCUCAAAAGCAUCAUCCAAUACUGCCCUUCCCUGUGUGUUAAACUGAUUUACUUCUUACUACAUGAAGCACUGAUUUCUUCAUCCAGCCUUUUUUCUUUUAUAAAUAUCAUCAGCAUUUUCUUUGGCUCUGUUGUUAACACAGUUACAGCAAAACAGAGGAUUUGAGAAUAUUUAAAUAUAUUGGUUUCUUAAACAGUAAAGAUUUCAACCUGAAUUUUCUGCAGACAAA